rnacentral:rRNA from 1 species
CAGCAGCCACGGUAAUACGUAGGGUGCAAGCGUUAAUCGGAAUUACUGGGCGUAAAGCGUGCGCAGGCGGUUAUAUAAGACAGAUGUGAAAUCCCCGGGCUCAACCUGGGAACUGCAUUUGUGACUGUAUAGCUAGAGUACGGCAGAGGGGGAUGGAAUUCCGCGUGUAGCAGUGAAAUGCGUAGAUAUGCGGAGGAACACCGAUGGCGAAGGCAAUCCCCUGGGCCUGCACUGACGCUCAUGCACGAAAGCGUGGGGAGCAAACAGGAUUAGAUACCCCUGUAGUCCCUGUCUCUUAUAA